AAAGGGCUUCGCACAGGCCGGGCGGCGCGGGUGAGCGGAGGCGGCAGGAAGGGCCUUAAGCCGCUGGCCUUGCCCCGCCGGCUGCCUCCCCUCCCCCGCCACCCGGCCUGCGCAGCGCGCGGCGCCUACGGCAACGCGCCCCCCGGGCUGCCGUUCGUUAACCCCUUACGAGCCGUUCGCGGGCCCCGCCUGAGGGGCUCCCCGGCCCUCGCCCUCCCCGCCGGGUCGUCCCGCCCGACGCGGCAGCCGGCCUGGGACGGGCUCCUGCGAAGUGGCCUUGUUGUCAGAGGUUCCGCGCACCUGUCGCUACUGCUGAAGGCCGCGCGGAGGGACCAGGCGGGAAGAGGGGCCUCUCAUUAAAAACCAGUAAAAGGAAGUAUUUCUUCACACAACGCAGAGUCAACCUGUGGAACUCCUUGCCUGAGGAUGUGGUGAAGGCCAACAGCGUUCAAAAAAGAACUAGAUAAUUUCAUGGAGGAUAGGUCCAUCAAUGGCUAUUAGCCAGGAUGGGCAGGGAUGGUGUCCCUAGCCUCUGUUUGCCAGAAGCUGGGAAUAAGCAACAGGAGAUGGAUCACUUGCUGAUUACCUGUUCUGUUCAUUACCUCUGGGGCACCUGGCACUGGCCACUGUCAGACAGGAUACUGGGCUAGAUGGACCUUUGGUCUGACCCAGUAUGGCCAUUAUUCUGUUCCUGUCUGGAGGUGGGGAGUCUUCCCUGCUUGAUUUGGACAGAAGCUCAUUCCACUUUGGGUCCUCUCCAUCUCCUGCUUCCCAUCAAAUUUAAUACAGUAGAACCUCCGAGUUAAACUGACCAGUCAACCCCACACCUCAUUUGGAACCAAAAGUAUGGAAUCAGACAGCAGCAGAGACCCCAAAAAAAGCAAAUACAGUCCAGUACUGUUAAAUGUAAACUAUUUUUUAAAAAGGGAAAGCAGCAUUUUUCUUCUGCAUAGUAAGGUUUCAAAGCUGUAUUUAAUGUUCAGUUGUAAACUUUUGAAAGAAUAACUAUAAUCUUUUGUCAGUUACGAACAAUUUCCAUUCCCAAGGUGGUCCUAACGCAGAGGUUCUGCUGUAAGUAGAUGACCACCUGUCAGCAAAACGUUGAAAAUUGCUCUUCCUGGCUGAAUUCCCCUAGGUCUGCAGUGCCUAAGCUGACCCUUCAAGCAUGGCAUACACAUUAUGUGGGAGCUCUGCCCGGUUUUUUUUUUCCUUGUGCACAAUGCAUGUGCUUUUAUUAGUCUCAGUUUUCAAUACAAGUCUCUGUUCAGGUAAUGCCUUUCAAAAGGCUUACCAAGCUGGUUAAGUACUACAAAGGCACUGAUUUGUUAUGCAGCCUUUCUUCAGAAAUUAAGGGCCCCCUCCUUUGUGAAGGGCUCUUAUUGUUCAGCACAAGUGUUCUGCGUUAUUCAUCUGAGUCUAAGUGAAAUUCAGGAGCCAAAAAUCUCUGCAUGCUUAAUCAUCUUGUUCACAGAAUUUGGGCUUUACCACCAAUCCUGGAUUAGAACAGAUUAAACUCAGUCCCAUGGGUCCUUUUAGGAUAUAUUACUGGGUGAUUUGGCUGUCAGCACCUUAAAACCAGGGAUGUUGUACAGACACAUGGAGAGUGGCCUCUCAGGCCUUAGGGACAGCAUGUCUGCAGCCCGUCCUCCUUAAAGAGAAACACAUGUUCAGAGUAUAUGCCUGCCAGCACUUUGCUAGUGGCCAGUUUUAGCCUAUGGUUCCUUGUGGUCUUGUACAGCUGUACAAAUACACUUUUGUCCACAUGCUGACUAUGAGGAGCUAGCUGAGCUAUCUUGUCUUCUCUUUCAUGGGACUGGUGGCUAUAGAGUUUUUUUUUUUUGGGGGGGGGGGGGUUGUUUUUGCUUGCAGAGUACAUGCAAAGCUGGUCAAACCCAUACCUUGUUGGCAAGUUUAUUGUGCACUUUUGCUUGGUUUUAAGCUUCUUAAGAUCACUAUCACCGCAAGAAGCUUGGCCUCAAUCAAUUUGAUUUGCUUUCAGUUGAAUGUGCCCUCCUAAAUAUUGUUCUACAUUGACAGGACAUAAGGAAUGAAGGGGAAAGGCACUUCAGUGAAGAAGCAUUGAAGAUUACAAACUCUCAGUGAAAAGUGCAGUACACACUCAUGUUGCAUACGUUUUUGCUCCCCCAUUCCUAGGUUAGUUGAAUGAAUUUCCGGUGUGUCUGAUGCAAUACAAUAUGGCAUUCAUGUGAGCCGUAACAAAUGCACAGAAAGACUGUCUGCUUCCUGGACUGUAAUAUUGGGGAAGGGAAAGGAUAAAGGACCGUGUUGUUAAAGGGGUAAAGAUAUUGUUACUGCUUUUUGACCCAGGUGUUUAGCCACUAUUCAGGGUCUUGUGGGUUGUUUCCAUUAGGAAGAGAAAUUGAUGAUAGACUUAGGUAUUUCGAGUCAUAGACUUCAAGGACAGAAGGGACUAACAUCAUCUAGUUUGACCUUUUGAGCGUUUCAGGCUACAGAAUCUUGCCUAUCCACUCAUGAAUUAGACCCAUAACUUCUGGCUGAGUUACUGAAGCCCUCCAAUCGUGAUUUAAACAUUUCAAGUUACAAAGAAUCCACCAUUUACACUAGUUUAAACCUGCAAGUAACCCGUGCUCCAUGCUGCAAAGGAAGGGAAAAAAGCUCCAGGGUCUAUGUCAAUCUGACCCAGGGGAAAAUUCCUCUCUAACCCAAAUACAGCAGUCAAUUGGACCCUGAGCAGUUCAGCAAGACCCACCAGCCAGACUCCUGGGAAAGAAUUCUCUGUAGUAACUCAGAACCCUUUCCAUCUAAUGUCCUAUUAUCAGCCAUUGGGGAUGUUUGCUACUCGCAGUCGCAGGUUGCCUAUAUGCCAUUGCAGGCAAUCUCAUCAUACUAUCCCCUUCAGAAACUUACCAAGCUCAGUCUUGAAGAUAGUGAGGUUUUUUUGUCCCUGCUGCUCACUUGGAAGGCUGUUGCAGAACUUCACUCCUUUGAUGGUUAGAAACCUACAUCUAACUUCAAACCUAAACUUGUUGAUGGCCAGUUCAUAUCUUGUGUCUAUGUUGGUCCUUAAUUUAAAUAACUACUCUCCCUCCCUGGUAUUUAUCCCUCUGCUAUAUUUAUAGAAAGCAAUCAUAUCUUCCUCUCAGCCUUCAUUUGGUUAGGCAAAACAAAACAAGCACUUUGAGUCUCCCCUCAUAAGCUAGGUUUUCCAUUCCUCUGAUCAUCCUAGUAGCUCUUCUCUGCACCUGUUGCAGUUUCUUAAACACAGGAGACCAGAAUUGCUCACCAUAUUCCAAAUAAGUUCUCACCAGUGCCUUGUAUCAUGGCAAUAACACUUCCCUAUCUCUACUGGAAAUACCUCACUUGAUGCAUCCUAGGAUUGCAUUAGCCUUUUUCACAGCCACAUCACAAUACCACUGAAAGAUACAUACAAUCGGCCCAAUAUAGCACUGUAUAGUUACACCCAAUGUAACACUUUUGGGAUUUGUAAGUGAAGACUCCUUAAAUAAAUAAAACUCUUGAUUGAUUUAGAAUUGCUGUGGUACAUGAAGCCUGUUUUUUAUAUUUUCAUCUGUGCAGUAACUUUUUAACAUACAAGCAAGAUGGUUCCAUAUAUAUCAUUGUGUGUCUACAUAAAGUGAUAAUGCUGUUUCCCUUCAUGUUCUGUUAUGAAUCUGGAAUUCUACCUAUUAAAACAGCCUACAGAUACAAUAAACAAGAAA